UACAGAGGGUGCAAGCGUUAAUCGGAAUUACUGGGCGUAAAGCGCGCGUAGGUGGUUUGUUAAGUUGGAUGUGAAAGCCCCGGGCUCAACCUGGGAACUGCAUUCAAAACUGACAAGCUAGAGUAUGGUAGAGGGUGGUGGAAUUUCCUGUGUAGCGGUGAAAUGCGUAGAUAUAGGAAGGAACACCAGUGGCGAAGGCGACCACCUGGACUGAUACUGACACUGAGGUGCGAAAGCGUGGGGGGCAAACAGG
rnacentral:rRNA from 1 species